AGAGUUUGAUCAUGGCUCAGAACGAACGCUGGCGGCGUGCCUAACACAUGCAAGUCGAGCGCGAAAAGGGCGACCUGAGUAGAGCGGCGCACGGGUGCGUAACACGUGGGUAAUCUGCCUCAAAGUCUGGGAUAACCUUCCGAAAGGUUGGCUAAUACCGGAUAAGCCCACGGAGACCUCGGUCUCUGUGAGAAAAGGUGGCCUCUAUUUAUAUGCCAUCACUUUGAGAUGAGCCCGCGGCCCAUCAGCUAGUUGGCGGGGUAACGGCCCACCAAGGCUACGACGGGUAGCUGGUCUGAGAGGACGAUCAGCCACACUGGAACUGAGACACGGUCCAGACUCCUACGGGAGGCAGCAGUGGGGAAUUUUGCACAAUGGGCGAAAGCCUGAUGCAGCAACGCCGCGUGUGUGAUGAAGGUCUUCGGAUCGUAAAGCACUUUCGACCGGGACGAACAACCUCUGGCUAACAGUCAGGGGCCUGACGGUACCGGGAGAAGAAGCACCGGCUAACUCUGUGCCAGCAGCCGCGGUA
rnacentral:rRNA from 1 species